rnacentral:rRNA from 1 species
UACGUAGGGAGCGAGCGUUGUCCGGAUUCAUUGGGCGUAAAGAGCUCGUAGGCGGUUCGGUAAGUCGGGUGUGAAAUCCCCGGGCUCAACCCGGGAACUGCUUCUGAUACUGGCGGACUUGAGGCCAGUAGGGGUCACUAGAACUGACGGUGGAGCGGUGAAAUGCGUAGAGAUCGGGAGGAACCCCCGUGGCGAAGGCGGCGCACUGGCCCGAUACUGACGCUGAGGCACGAAAGCGUGGGGAGCAAACAGG